UACAGAGGUCUCAAGCGUUGUUCGGAUUCAUUGGGCGUAAAGGGUGCGUAGGCGGCGAGGUAAGUCGGAUGUGAAAUCUCGGGGCUCAACCCUGAAACUGCAUUCGAUACUGCCUUGCUCGAGGACUCGAGAGGAGAUUGGAAUUCACGGUGUAGCAGUGAAAUGCGUAGAUAUCAAGAGGAACACCUGAGGCGAAGGCGGGUUGCUAGGCUGACACUGACGCUGAAGCGCGAAAGCCAGGGGAGCAAACGGG
rnacentral:rRNA from 1 species